AUGAACUCUUGAUUCUGAUUCAAUGCAUGAGGAUUAGUAUUCAGUUAUUAUACCUUACUUAUCUUACUGGUGAGAAACAAAUUUUGGUGAAGCUACGUUUAUAAUACUGGCAUCGUGCCUGCAACUAUGGUUGUAAUGGACAUAUUGAACCUUUCCUCCUUUAUCAUAAUCUUGAUAACAUCAUCUUUUAGAUGAA